rnacentral:lncRNA from 1 species
UGAAAUUCAUCGAUAAAUCCGCUAAAAUCCCAUGACAAUGAUUAGUUCAUAAUCGAACUUCUCAUCAUCAUGGGUUCGAAUGUAAACAUGGUACUGAAUAGGAAAAACAAAAUCAAAGUAUGAGAAUAAGAGUUAAGAAACAAAUCCGAAACGAGCAUCCAAAGUUACGCCUACUUCGAAGAAUUACAAAAGUAAAAGCUAUGAAAUUCGAUCUU